rnacentral:rRNA from 1 species
GAUGAACGCUGGCGGCGUGCCUAAUACAUGCAAGUCGAGCGAACAGACGAGGAGCUUGCUCCUCUGACGUUAGCGGCGGACGGGUGAGUAACACGUGGAUAACCUACCUAUAAGACUGGGAUAACUUCGGGAAACCGGAGCUAAUACCGGAUAAUAUAUUGAACCGCUUGGUUCAAUAGUGAAAGACGGUUUUGCUGUCACUUAUAGCUGGAUCCGCGCCGCAUUAGCUAGUUGGUAAGGUAACGGCUUACCAAGGCAACGAUGCGUAGCCGACCUGAGAGGGUGAUCAGCCACACUGGAACUGAGACACGGUCCAGACUCCUACGGGAGGCAGCAGUAGGGAAUCUUCCGCAAUGGGCGAAAGCCUGACGGAGCAACGCCGCGUGAGUGAUGAAGGUCUUCGGAUCGUAAAACUCUGUUAUUAGGGAAGAACAAAUGUGUAAGUAACUAUGCACGUCUUGACGGUACCUAAUCAGAAAGCAACGGCUAACUACGUG